rnacentral:lncRNA from 1 species
GUUGGAUUCUAUCGUUUGUGUUUGCCGCAAAGAGCGACAGGACUCGUGGUUUCAGCACCUGAGGGCUGGACAGUACGACCCCGCUUUUUAUUGGGCGCUCGUGCACGGAUGCGCGUGCCCUCCUCUAGUCGUUAUAAGUGUGUAUGAGGUUUGUAGCCACGGCUUCAUAAUUAGGCCAAAGAUGCAAUGCGCAGGCAAAAGCUCACAUACAUUUUAAUCUCUUGUUUGUUAACUACUCUUAUUACGAUCAGUAAAAUGCCAAAUUAUGUUUUGAAACCUUCUCUCAAGUAAAUAUGCUGCACAGAAACAAUUAAGUAUAUGAAAUGAAUGUUUACAUGAAUGGAAAAUGAAUGUUUUAGUGCUAUUUUACCAUUACUAUUGUAAUGGUAUAUGAACGCUCAGCACCUCCGGGAAAGGAACUGGUCCGAGUUUGGUAACGCAGGGUUACAUCAUGUUUGUCCAACAUUUUCCGGAAACGCCGGGUAACUCGCUUCAGCUAGUAAACAAGCAUGGACGCAGCAGUGGCUGUGAGGAAAACAUUCGUUCUGAUAUUUUUGUGAAUUCGAAGUGGAUGUGCAGUGAAAAAACCGGUUGCACGGUUCAGCAGAGGAAGGUCACCCCCGCUGCUCUUAGCUUACUCCGUCAGCUGCGGACCAGGCCUGCAGGACAGUAGCCCCAGCUUGGCUUCACAGGAACAUGAUGAGGAAGACGAGGACAGCGACCAACUUAUCGAGGAAUGGAUGAUCCUGGGAGGAGAUGAGCAGCCGGGAGACUCGAGCAUCAAGCUCAAUCUGAGCUACUGGAUCAGUUCUGAGGAGGACUCUGGAGAUGAAGGUAUUUAAUAACAGAGAUGAGAAUACCAAGCGGCUUUUAAAACCACUAAAUGGCACACCCCUUAUUCCAUGCAUGAACUGCAUGCUGAAAUAUUCUCUU